CGAGCACGUGGUGUGCUCCGCGCCGUCCGGGCCACCUCCGCCCGCUGUGGGCGCGCGAGCGGCCCGGCGGCGGGUGCGGGCCCGGCGGCCGCGGGCUGCCCGACAACCUGUCGACACCGGCUCGCAGCUGUCGGACCCUGGGCUCUGCUGUUUUCCAAGCCGAGCUGUGACUGCUCUUUCAGGAAGACGUCUCGGCGCCUGAUUCUCCGCCGUUGGGGCGGCGGGGCCGGGGCUGGGCGGGUGACAGCCGGUGGGGGGGGGGUGGAGGGGGACGGCCCUCUCCUCCCCACCCCCGCCCCCAAGGCCGGCGCUGCCUUGGCCUCCCCCGGACCCCUGGGCAGAAGUGCACCCCGGUGCCCGGGCUGCGCCACCGAGCCUGGCGUGGCGUGACACCCGCGUGGCCCCCGCCCGGCAGUGACCGGCCUCGCUGCACCUGGAGAAGCGGGAAGCGGCCGAGCUCUGCGGGCUUCUCCGUUCGUGAAAACUUUGAGAAAGGGCAGCUGAGAAGCCAGUUCAAGGGGACAAACAGAUGCCAUCCACAGUGACAGGUGCGCACAGGCGGGAAGCAAACUUGCGGGAAGAGCGCCGGCCCGAGGCGGCGGCGCCGAGAACCCGGGGACAGGCCGUCCCUCCUCCCCUGCCCGGCCUCUUCAUCCUCGGCCCCUCGGGAAGAACAAGCAGCGAACCGCUGCGGGAUGGCUCCAGGUCCGCGCGCGGCCCUCCUGGCCUCCCGGUGCACGGGACGGGUCCGCCAGCCCGCGUCUGCCACACGCUCGCCGGCUCCGUCCUGGCGUCCCGCGUAGGGAGUUGCCCAGGGUGCUCGCCUCCGUUCCCGGGACACUUUUCGUCCUGUCUCCUAUGAAGCAGCCGGAGCCUGGUGCGCACUCCCCGCUGUGGCGCACGGACACACUGGACCCCACAGCAAUUUCACCCCAACACUUGGGGGACCCAGGAAGCCGCCCCGCUCGGCGACGGCGAGGCGAGUGGCAAGCAGUCCCAGGCAGCGGCCGAGAAGCGCCCAGGACCGCAGGGCCGUAACCGGGUGCCCUUGGGCGCCAGGCGGGGACCGGAGCGGGGCGGCUGCGGCGAUCCCCGUGCCCUGGGGGCCUGGCCUGCUCUCUGCUGCCGCGUCAGGGCCAGGCCCGCGCCGGGUCAAGAGCGGCACCUGUGAGCGCCCCGAAAGCGAGGGCCUGGGGACCUCGCUGCGGAUGCGCUGCGGUGGGACCAGAGCGGGGCUGGCGGGAGGCGACUCCAGGAAAACCCGGGAAAGAAAACACCCGGAAGGCGCCCCGGGAUGGUCUGAAGCUCGCAGCAGUGCCCGCAGAGCAGGUGCCGGGAUGCAGCCGGGGCUCGGGUCCCGGACUGUGGCGGCGGGAGACCAGCGAGACCAGCGGCCCAGCGCGCGGAGCUCCGGGACCGGCGGCAGGAGGAGAAGAAGGGCCCGCAGUCACCUGGCCUGGCGUGCGAUGUCGCCAUCCCCGAGCGUCGGAGGAAGUGAAUUACAUGCGUGUGCACACACGUAAAUAUUUUAUAAGCCUCCCCUUAAUUAACCAAAUCAUUUCCAUUAUGCCUCCAAUGUGAUCAACAGCAGCGGUGUGAGGGUUUUCAGGGCUUAUAAUUCGAUGUCACCAGACGGUCGCUCGGGGGCAGAGGUACAAUCGCGGAGCCAGCUGCACUUGUAUUUAUUUGUUUUUCUACCGUGUUCCUGUAGGGCUCCAUUAUGCAGUUUUUAAUUAGUUUGUGUUUGUAUUUCACCCGUCCCAAAUCAAUGCCAUCCCGGAGCAAGGCGAUGUAAAUUCUCGCAGUACAGGUGUAGCUGCUGGCUUGGGAACACUCGGAAACACGCGUCUGACAAAUGAGAGCGGGCGCCACACAGCCCACUGUCGGCUCCUGGCAGCCAAGAGGCGCAGACCAAAGCCAGCGGGGACUUGUGCGCCCCUGUGAGCGCCAAGCCCGCGUGCUGGGUUCCUAAUUCCAGUAGAGGGAGCCGCACAGAGCAAGGCGUGGGGGGCAAAGUGACUUUUCAUUUUGCCCGAGUCCUGCGGUCCUUGGGCCUAGUGGGCGAGGCUGGAGCCCGCGUGCAAUUAUCCUAGCUCCCCCCGGAAGAUCACUGUGGCACCUGUCGGGUUCCGUGGAGCCUUUUAACAGGACCCAAGGCAGACAGCCCGAAUUUCUGGAAUCUCCAGGCAUGAGGACCGCCUCCCCACACCCCCGCCCCCUUGUGCUGGCUGUCUCUUCCUUCUUGAAAUGACCUCUGUGGAGUGCCUGUAAAUCUAUCCCUCCAGCCACGGGGGAAUUCUUUUAAAGCUUUCUUUUUUGUCAGGAAUAAGAGAUUGUUCAUCUUUAACUAGACCACAUAGAAAUUAUGAUUCAACAGCAGUGUGUAUUUAAUUAGAGUAAUCUCACUUGAAUUUAAUUACCUAAUGAAUUAUUUGUUUAAAAGGUAGAAUGUCUUGUUUGCCAAGUGCGGUGCAGACCUCCGAUAAGAACUUCUGUUAUAAGGACAUUACAGCUUAAAAGCAGUCAUGUGUUAAGGUUUAUAUUUUAACUCCUUGAGUGUGUAACUGUUAACUGUUAACGUGCUACUCGCACAAAAGCUCUGAUACGGAAGGGUGCCGGGAGAGCACGCACAGAUUCUGUUCUGUGCCCACAUCCUUUUGGAAAUUGGCAUCCUCUACCUUGCCACCUGAGCCUAUUUUUAAACUUCCUGCAUUUUGCUUUCAGUGACACUUUCCUUUUUUCUGCUGCACGAUGACAGCUGUCUAUUAGAGGGCUCAUUUUAUGAUUAGUAUUUGCAAUGAAGGGCACAUCCUUCAGCAAAACUCCCGCCCAGCUCCACUGUGUCCCAGAGGCACCCACAAUAGCAGCAGGAAGCCUUUCUGGGCUCAUCAAACCUCAUGGGAAUGGAAGGUACCAAGGCCCAGACUUUGACCUUAACCCUUCAUUCCUAAACCAUGGAAGAAUCUCCUUGCCUCUUGGUUUCCAAAAGCAAGAGCCCAGAACUCUAGGCCACGCCACCCUUUCUGGGAGGCUCACAAGUUGACUCGUCUCUCGGUAAUGCUAACGAUUUUUGCAGCUAAUGCCAAGUUCGAAAUCCCAGCCAAGGGAGGAGGGUGACGUGCUGGAAGUCUAACAUGAUUUCUGUGUUUUUCUGUGGCUAAGUGACUACAGGAGCAGACUGCUUCUCCUCCUCUAUCCCGUGUGAUGGACAGAAUCGUCUGUCCCUGUGUGAUGGAAUUUCAGCAGAGGAAUGAAUGGAUAGGGUGAGGGAGGCAGCAGGAAAUGUUUCGCCCACUCACUGAAGAGAGACCAGGAAAUAAGAACGCCUGAAAUCUGCUGGAUUGAAUUCCACUGUCAUUUUCAUUAAUAUUUCAUCAAUCAAAUAAUUUACUUUAAUUGCAGAUUCGGGCACUAUUAUCACAUAAAUAUUAAAUAGUAUUAAUAUAGUGUCCAUCUAAGUAAGAAUGAGCUUAUAAGAAAGUACAACACGUUGAUAAGAAUUGUGAAUUUCUUGUUUCUUUCCUGUAUCCCUGAUGUGUAUCAUAACUGUGCAUUUUGCAGCUGGGUGUCCCAACAACCAAUAGCGGUUAAAUUGUAAUAUAAAUUUGGGACUCCUGCGUGGCUCAGUCGAUGAAGCGUCCGACCCUGGCUCAGGUCAUGAUCUCAAGGUUCGUGAGUUUGAGCCCCGCGUCGGGCUCUGUGCUGACAGCUCAGAGCCUGGAGCCUGCUUCGGAUUCUGUGUCCCCCUCUCUGUCUGCCCCUCCCUCACUCGCACUCUGUCCCUCUCUGUCUCUCAAAAAUAAACAUUAAAAAAAUUACA
ensembl:lncRNA